UCUUCCUUUAUUCGAGAACAAUCUAAUUGAUAUAUAAAUCUGUGAUUUUACUAUGUUCAUAACUUCGAUGAACCAAAGCAAGUUAUAUAUCGACCUGUAUUUAAAUCAAAUUGGUUUCUUCUUCUUCUUCUUCUUCUUCUUCUUCUUCUUCUUCUUCUUCUUCUUCUUCUUCUUCUUCUUCUUCUUCUUCUUUUGGUAUACAAUAGUCUAUCGAAUUCGUUGAUCACAUACUGUUGGCAUACG
rnacentral:lncRNA from 1 species